GCCUCAAUCUCCUAGCCCCAAACGAUCCCCUUGCUUUGGCCUCCCGAAGUUCUGGGAUUACAGGCAUGAGCCAUCUCGCCCAGCCUCUAUUUUCAUAUUCUUUAACUGCACAUUUCCCUGAGCUAGUCUCAGAUUCUGCUGUCUGUUUUUCUUACUGAUUGUGCAGAUUUUGAAUGAAGUCUCUCUCUUCUGCACAUUUGCCUUCCCCAGACAGAGCUUGCUGCGGAAGUAAAAUUUCAAAAUAAUCCUCCAACGUGUUUGUGGCCUGAAGGAGCAGAGCAGCGGUGGGAACAAUUUAAUUCCUAAUAAAGUCCAUACCUCUAAGUCGCUGCGUGUGUGCCAUUGAAACGCAGAGAAGUUGCUAGAACUCCUCCACUCCUGCAGAGCUGUUGCCUCUCUGGGCCUGUGUGACAAUGUUUGCUCUCCCUGCUGUCACUUUGCACUUCCCCGAGUCUCUCUGGAUGGCACUUCAUGAUUUCUCCCUGAAGCAAUGAUGGAAGUAUGUCAGCUGUCAAAGGUUCUGGCAGCAGAAGGCAGCUGAGAAUAAAGCGGCUUCACGGUAAUGUCGGUGACCCCCUAACCAUACCCCGCUUUCCACCGAUGAUUUGUCUGGACAGUGUUUAAAGCAGAUGAAAUAUACAUUUUUUGAAUCAGGUAACUAUUUUCGAUAGAAGCUGGAUACUUUUAUUUUGGAUUAAACCUGAUAACCUAUCAUUCUUUAGGAGAAAACUAACCUCUCCAAACGUACAUUUGUCAAAUGCAACUUCCUCCAAAUUAUAGAAUAGAUUAACUAUGUUAAAUAACCUUAACAAGGGCAGAAAUGCAGAAGUUCAUAUGUGUGCACUUUUGUGAAUUUCCAUCAUUGUGUGAAAUGUGUGCUUCUUAGGUACUGUACUCCAGUGAGCACUGACGUGGCUUGUGGGUGACUUAAGGUUACAGUCAGAAUCAUAAUGUUGUUAUUGGCCUUGAUCUUAGUUUCACAUUACCAGUGUUUCCCACCACUUGACUUUCUUAUUUUAAAAAAGAAAACUAAAUCAAAAUUAUUCACACCAAAUUGCCCCAUGUACACUUUGAAUAUUUUUAACAUUAUCUGAGUAAAGGGAUGGAGGGACUGUUUUACUCCUGAUAGCCAAGACUGUGCGCCUUAAAGACCAAUUUACAUUUAUAAAUGCACAAAUGCACAAAUCAAUUGUUUUAUCACACUUUUAGCUAAAAGUCUUAAAUGUUUCUAAACUUAGUAAAUUUACAAGGAUGAAAGUGGCCUUAGACUUUGCACCUCCUCAUUUACAGAUGAAGAGAUGGAGGUCCAAGUGAACCAAGUAGGCUGAGAUCAAGUAGCUAAUUAGUAGAUGAACUAGAACUAGAACUAGAACUAGAACUUGAACACGGAUCUCUGCCCCACAAAUGAGCUAUCUUUCUGCCAACUGCUAAAUAUAUUCAGGUUGUGAUCAUUUUGGGUGAAAUGAUGGUUGUUUUCUUGUCUUAAUUUGUUUUUAUUGUGAUUUUAAAAUUCAAGGAUAUCUCAAAUUACUGGCCCAUUAAAUCUUGUAUUCUUUUGCUUGUUGAAGGCAACAGGAGAUGACCAGUGCUGGGUUUCAUGGGAACCAGAGGAUUUACAACUUUGCUUGGGCUCCACGUACCAGCAGGAGCCUGAUGAGGAGGGCGGCUGUGUUCUGAAUUGUUUUAGGAAGUCUCCUUCAGCCCAAGACCGUCUGGACAAAAUUGCCAUGGGAUCCUGUUGCUGCAGCAGGAUGUUACCAAGUGAGACGUUGACUCAAAGAAGGGGAGCUGAGAUCAGGAAGGCCAAGAUGGCAUCCAAAAAUUCAAACACACCAAGGAGGCCAGGU
rnacentral:lncRNA from 10 species